rnacentral:rRNA from 1 species
UAUUGGACAAUGGGCGAAAGCCUGAUCCAGCCAUGCCGCGUGUGUGAAGAAGGUCUUCGGAUUGUAAAGCACUUUAAGUUGGGAGGAAGGGUUGUAGAUUAAUACUCUGCAAUUUUGACGUUACCGACAGAAUAAGCACCGGCUAACUCUGUGCCAGCAGCCGCGGUAAUACAGAGGGUGCAAGCGUUAAUCGGAAUUACUGGGCGUAAAGCGCGCGUAGGUGGUUAGUUAAGUUGGAUGUGAAAUCCCCGGGCUCAACCUGGGAACUGCAUUCAAAACUGACUGACUAGAGUAUGGUAGAGGGUGGUGGAAUUUCCUGUGUAGCGGUGAAAUGCGUAGAUAUAGGAAGGAACACCAGUGGCGAAGGCGACCACCUGGACUGAUACUGACACUGAGGUGCGAAAGCGUGGGGAGCAAACAGGAUUAGAUACCCUGGUAGUCCACGCCGUAAACGAUGUCAACUAGCCGUUGGGAGCCUUGAGCUCUUAGUGGCGCAGCUAACGCAUUAAGUUGACCGCCUGGGGAGUACGGCCGCAAGGUUAAAACUCAAAUGAAUUGACGGGGGCCCCGCACAAGA